rnacentral:rRNA from 1 species
AACGAACGCUUGCGGCGCGCCUAAUACAUGCAAGUCGAACGAGGUAGCAAUACCAAGUGGCGCACGGGUGAGUAACACGUGGAUAAUGUGCCAUUCAGUGGGGAAUAACUGACCGAAAGGUUAGCUAAUACCGCAUGAGACCACAGUCCCUGAGGGGACCGAGGUUAAAGAUUUAUCGCUGAAUGAUCAGUCUGCGUAAGAUUAGCUAGUUGGUGAGGUAANGGCUCACCAAGGCAACGAUCUUUAAGUGGUCUGAGAGGAUGACCACUCACACUGGAACUGAGACACGGUCCAGACUCCUACGGGAGGCAGCAGUAGGGAAUAUUGCACAAUGGGGGAAACCCUGAUGCAGCGACGCCGCGUGAGUGAUGAAGGCC